AUAAUAACAAUGAUUAGAAAGCUAUACAAAAAGAGUUUAAUCUCCUAAAUUGGUUAUUGAUCGGAUUAAACCCUAAACCCUUCAACCUUAAUCACUCAUACCUUAUGAAUAAAAAUAUUUACAAAAAUUUCACUCCCUUACUUCCUUGUUCCUUCCAUUCUAUUCACACUGCAAGGACAGUAAAAUCUUCAAACAUUCAAAGUACCAACAAAACAAAAACAACCUCAAACCGAUGUCGCUUUUAACCAACCAAACCAAUUACCUCCAAGAAAAACCCAACAACCUCUUCACUUCACUUCACUUCAACAAAUCACAAACCCACCCAACAUCUGGACCGGGUUGACCCGACUCCAAACCCAAACCCGAAUUUCCAUUCUCAUUCUCCAAUGAAUUUUCUUUGCUUAAUUUCUCAAACAUCUUAGCCCUAAUAUCUCUUCCACUCUCAACUCUCUCCAUUAUAGGCUCCUCUUCACAACUCUGAUCCCAUAAAUCAAACCCACCAACCCGGCCUAAACCUGGUUUUUUUGUUGGUGUAUUAGGUAAACUUAAAAAACCAGACCGAAGCGGUGACCCAAAAACCGGUGAACCCGAACCAAAAACCGGUGACCCAAUUGUAACAUUUCUAUUAAUUGGCAUAGUUUUCAUCCGACCCAAUUGUAAAUUCCGUAACGACGCCACCAUCUCGCUCGCCAUCGGUGACAUCGGUGGAGAUUCUGGCGGCGUCGUUAUAGUAACCAUUUGUCGUAACGGAGAACCGUCAUACGAAUCAGGCGAAUUAACACUCCGUGAGGAAGAUGGACUCUGCUGAACGUUAAGACGAAGCUGUUCCGGCGUGUGAGCGAAGAAGCAAACACGCCGGCGACAGCUGGUUCCGUCUUUACACGGCUGAGUACGGUAACGUGCAGGAUGAAGCCAACACUCGAAAACACCAUGCGCGUGUUCACACGCGUCACCUUUCUUACAGUUACCUUUACGAAAAUCAGGACACGCCGUACCGGAGUAAUGAAACUUCCUCGGAUCACGGCGGCGUGCUUUCUCGCCGGGAUGUGCGUAUGGACACUCCGUCCAGUCAUGUGAUCUUCCACGUGCGCAUCUUCUUAUCUUGAACUCGUACAUGCGGAAAUGAUCGCAUGAAUAUGCAUCCACCGUUGAAUCCGCCGCCGCCGUCGCCGGAGAUUCUAAAUCAGAAUCGUUGAACUCGUUUGACGGAAGAUAACGUUGAAGCGCUGCAAGUGCUUCUCGGAGAUAGUAAUCACCGGAAGAGUAAUCACCGGUGGAAAAAUCUCCGGCAGUGUAAUCUCCGGCGCCGGUGAAAUCACCGGCAAUGUUAUUGUUAUCAUAACCGAAACAAGAAGAAAGAAUCUCAGCUGUUGGAUCAUCAUGAUUCGGCCAAGGAGGAACAUGAACCGUUGGAUUAGCUCUCAGCAUCAUUUUGUGGAUUUUGUGUUGUGAAGUGUUUUCGGUUUUAUCUAUAGAUGUUUACAAAACAGAGACAAGGUUAGGUUGCUUUAUAAACUAAAAUUUAACCGUGGUUAAGUUGAAAUUUAACUGUGGUUACUUUUGAUUUUUUUUUUUUUAACUGCGGUUAAAGUGGAGUGGGAGAUUUUAUCAUCACCGUACAUGUAAUAGGGUUUUUUCUGACAGGUGGGUUUAUCGUUUGCCACGUGUGUUGAUUUUGGAUUUGUUUGACACGUGGCAUUUGGUGAUUGUGUUGUUUGGAUUUUAUUUUAUUUUGGUUCUUUUGAUGGCCCUAGUCUUGUGAAAACGGUAG
rnacentral:lncRNA from 1 species